AGCUUUGCACAGUGGCAGUAUUGUAGCUAGUUAGGUUUAUCCGAGGCGUGAUUAUUGCUAAUUGAAAACUUUUCCCAAUACCUUACCAUGACGACUUAAAAUACAGUUGGCAUUGAUAAUUUUUUAUAGUUGCUAUGGAGA
ensembl:snRNA U4 U4 spliceosomal RNA